rnacentral:rRNA from 1 species
GAUGAACGCUGGCGGCGUGCUUAACACAUGCAAGUCGAACGAAGCACUUAGACGGAAGUUUUCGGACGGAAGACUAAGUGACUGAGUGGCGGACGGGUGAGUAACGCGUGGGCAACCUGCCUCAUACAAGGGGAUAACAGUCAGAAAUGACUGCUAAUACCGUAUAAGCUUACGGCAUCGCAUGAUGCAGUAAGAAAAACUCCGGUGGUAUGAGAUGGGCCCGCGUCUGAUUAGCUAGUUGGUAAGGUAACGGCUUACCAAGGCGACGAUCAGUAGCCGACCUGAGAGGGUGACCGGCCACAUUGGGACUGAGACACGGCCCAAACUCCUACGGGAGGCAGCAGUGGGGAAUAUUGCACAAUGGGGGAAACCCUGAUGCAGCGACGCCGCGUGAAGGAAGAAGUAUUUCGGUAUGUAAACUUCUAUCAGCAGGGAAGAAAAUGACGGUACCUGACUAAGAAGCCCCGGCUAAUUACGUGCCAGCAGCCGCCGUAACAC